GUCCUGUCAAACAAAACGGCAAUUUUUAGACGACGUUACACUUUUCGUUUAUUUUAUCGGAAUAGACUUUAUUUUAUUAAGCUGGCGCGCCAUCUAUAAACAACGGAUAUUUAUAGCAGAAGACUCAUUGUGAUGGAAAAGUUUCAGAGAUUGUACUGUCUGAUGCUCCUAUCGUUCGGUAGGUAAAUACAUUAGCCCUGUACGUUUAAAAUGUAAAAUGUUAUCUUUCUCUUGAAAACGUACGUAAAUAAAUUGGAGCUUUUCAGAGAACAUACUUGAGAACUUCGUUGAAAUGAUCCCAAAUUUUUAGCUUGAUCUGGCUUUCUAAUGCACAGCGCGAACCAGGCAAACUAUAGAUGUUGAUGCUUUUUACGGAAUUAGUCUACAACGUCACGUUGUGCUUUGUAACGUUUCCUCAUUUGACGAUUUGUGUAAUUCCGUGAAAAUGAAAGGCAUUUGUGUUGGCCAAAAAAUGUAAACAAUCAUCGCAAAAAGUAUGGCAGCCCGGCACCAAAGAAGCCGUGUAUGUUUGAUAUGUAUUACUUUGAAUUGUUAAAAGUAAUAAAGAAAUAUCUACGCCAAAUUAAAACAGCAUACUCUAUGAGUCUAUGUAAUAUCUGAUUGAAACGGAGACGGCCGAGUUGUUUGUCAGACUGUCUAUUUAGGGUCUGUCUAUUUAUAUCCCGAGAAACUAUAGUCUAUUUCUUAUUUAACUUUCACUUUACGAGUCUUUAUCGGGGAUGUGUGUUAUUUUUACGAGAAUCACCAAAGAGUUGAGACAGUGAAUGUUGGACCUCAUACUACAACACACUACAGUUAAAUAUGCCACCUUCAAUUUUUUGCUAUAUAAUUAGGGGCGGAUCCAGCCAUUUUAAAAAGGGGGGUUCCGAACCCAGAGUAAAGGGGGGGGGGGGGUGAAUCCAACUAUAUGCUCCCAUUCAAAUGCAUUGAUCGUCAAACAAAGGGGGUUCCAACCCCUGACCCCCCCCUUUGGAUGCGCCACUGAUAAUGCAGAAAGAACUACCAAAAGAAAUAUAUAAAAAAAUAUUUUGAAGGCAUUUUUUUUCUUCAAGAAAACAUCAUCAGACUCAGAUUUAACACAGCUGUAUUUGUUUAAUACAUUCGUUUUCAUGAAGUGUCCUCCUUUUUGAUAAAAUAAACAAGUAUUUGUUUAUCCUUAUAGAAAUUAGAUGAAUUGCUAAGAUUAAAGAAUAUAUUUUAAAAACAUGUGCACUUUUAAAAAGAGACCAGAAAAAACAACUAAAUUCAAAAAAAGACCAAAUAAACAAAGAUACUGCUACAGAAAAAAAUACUUCAUUUAAUGUAUAAUGAUACACUAAUGAUUUGUCAAUAAGCCAGUAAUUAAUGGUCGUAUGAUUAUUAGACAUGAAAAGCAACCCAACAAAUAUAUAUAGCUCUUAGCAAGUGAAAACAAAGGCCAAGUUUUAAUAUGUUAUAACAAGAAAAAGUGGGCUUUUAGAUUUUAAAUUUUUUAUUACAUAUGCUAUCAAUCUAAUCUUGAGAAAAAAUUAUUAUAAUUUCUGUUUAGAUUUAAUACCAGCUGCUGUACAAAACGCACAAGAAUUAAGAAAAUAUGAUGAUGCUAUUUGAUUAAGUAAUACUAUAUGCUUAUAUAAAUAUUUUUGUCAAUACAUGUAUCAAAUAUUUACUAUAUUAAAAGCAAGUCCCCGAGUGCAAAAAACACAACAUUUAAAGGUGUCAAAUUUUUAAUUAUUCUGUCACAUGUGUGAUUUAUGUCAAUGGUUAAUUGGUGUUUAAUGCCACUUUCAGCAUUAUGUACUAUUUCGUAGUAGUUGGUUUUUAUUGGUUGAGUGAGAAAAUAAUGCUUGAAGAGAACCAAGAUCCAAGAUAGUAAAAUUGACAGGCUAACUAAGUCAAUUAAGAUUAUAGUCAAACUGAAAGGCUUUGAAAUUCACAACCUUUGUGUUGACAGGAUAGUGAUAGAGAAGUUAUUUACUUAAGACCAUUUGGCUACUGAAACCAAUUGCAAUGAAACAGUUACACAACAAUGUGUCAUAGAAAAACAUGCAGUCUUUAUCCAUAGCACAAGUUAAAUAAAAAAUUGCUGAGUUUCCGUUUUCUUACUUUAAUUUGCCGCAAACAAAUGUUAUAAAACGAAUAGGUAUACAAUGCCUAUUACCACAAAAACCAGAUCAUGUUCAAAAUUGGGUGGCGUCACUUUUACCAUUCAUGACUUAUGUUCUUUUUUAAAUGAAGCAAUUACUUAAUCUGUUGCUUUAAUUCUCUUCCUCUUGUUUGCUUCAACUAAAUGUUAUGAAAUUUAUACACAAUGCUUAUAAUUACAUAAGAGCCUUAAUGAAAUUAAUCCUGCAUCUGUAUUUGGAAGUUGACUGCCUCUGGUGCAUAUUGUUACAGGCCGGGUAUUUGCGGCCCAAAAACACAUUCUCAAUUUAUUAAACCAUGUUCAUUUACAAGAACAGCCUAGUAUAGAAAAACCUCUGAAAUCGCCUUCAAUAUAUUUUUCUAAAUCAACUUUAAAUUAAUUUGAACAAUUGACUAAAUUGAAGAAAGCGGGGGUGUUUUGUUUACAAUGUAUACUGAUCCCCAAUUUGAAAAAAAAACUAUUCUCAAUGCUCAGAUUUUUUCUUUUUUUCCCCCAUUUCCAUUACAAUAGAGUAGUGGUAUAUAGAAUAAAAAUAAAAAUAAUCUGAUUAAUCGUGUCAAAAAACUAAAUAAAUUUGUUUGUGCUUUGCACGUACAAUAUUUUUGACUAAGAAAAAAAACCAAGAAUUUAUAUGCCCCACUUACGAUAGUAGAGGGGUAUUAUGUUUUCUGAUCUGAUCGUCCGUUUGAUAGAUUGUCUGUGUGUCCCUUUUCAUGUUUAAGUUUUUGGUCAAGGUAGUUUUUGAUGAAAUUGAGGUCCAAUCAAUUUGAAAUAUAUAGUUCAAAUGUUCCCUAUGAUAUGACUUUCUAAUUUUAAUGCCAUAUUAGAUGUUUGACCCCAAUUUCACGGUCCACAGUCACUGAACAUACAUGUAGAAAAUGAUAGUGUGAGUGAGGUAUCCAUGUACUUAUUGACACAUUCUUGUUAGAUUUGUAUUGUUUAAUUACUGGUGUAUUAUAUCAUUUAACCCAUCAUUGAUUUUUUUCUUCUAUUUUUAUAUGGUUAUUUUUGUGACCUGCAUGUAUAUGAGAACACACACAAUCAUGCACAUAAAAAAACCUCAUAUACAUUUUUGAAAGUCAUUUGAUACAUAUGAAUUAUUUCAAUUGAGUAUUUUUUUUUAUUUUUUUGAAGUAGAAUGGAGAAUUAUCCUUACCUAGUUGACCAGGCUCUACUGAUAUGAUAGAUAUGCCGAUGUCUAACUUGGAGAUCUUGAUUAGGUUGGGAAAUGUAUCAGGUAGGUGGUUAUUCAUACAUAAUAUAUAUCAUGAAACAAAUAUGUCAUCGAAAAAACAUUGAAAUUAGUCAUACAUGUAUGCUGUUGAGACAGUAACCAAACAACAUGUUCAUAUAAUCAAAAUUAAAAACAAUUUGAUAGUAAUAUUUUAAAAAAAUUACUUUAAAUGGCCUUAACAAUUACUAAGUAGAUGUAUUCAUGUAUGUUGUAGAAUUAUACUGAAAGUAUUUACUAGUUCAUUUGACUGGCAAAAAAAUGAUCAAUAUUUCAGGUUUUACAAAACAGACUAGACAAAUUGCAAGAUAGCAAUUAUGGAAGAGUCACAGUUGAAAAAACAUAAAAUCUAUGAAAACAGCUAACAGCUACUCAUAACAUUUUUUUAAUCCUUUUGAUAUUUGUUGUCUUGAUUUUAAACUACCAGUAAGCUUUAUAUAUUUAAAUAUGGAAACUCCAACAGCACACACUAAUUUCAACAAUUUUAUUUUUUGGUAUUUUGUGUUUUUUCAGAUCAUGUAGAUGUAGAAGUAGAAGAAACAGCAGUGAAAAAAGAAUGAGAGUCAUCAUUUUAAUAAACAUUUCGCUUGAAAUUGAAAUAAAUCUAUUUUUUUCUUCAUUAUGUAUUUCAAAUAUGAGCAUUGGGAUAAACUUUAAUGAGACAGCAAGCCAGCAGCACAAUCCCAAUAGCUAUUUGGAGGUCUACUCAAACUUCAUGCAAACAUGAAAUUUGUGGUUUUUCAAUAUAAAUUAAAUUGAAAGUUAGCAACUCUUUGAGGCUUUGGUGCAACUUGCACGGUUUCAGAAUUAUAGCUUCAGAACUUGUUUAUGAAUGAUUUAUUUAUUCCAUAUUUAAGAUGAAUAUGUCAGUAUACAAAGAAGGAGAUGUGGUAUAAUUGCCAAUAUGACAACUGAUUUUAUAUGUUUUGAAAUAUCUCCUACUCUUGUCUCGUUAUGUCUUUCAUCCCACUUCAUAUUGACUUCUCUCUGUGUAAUUAUAUUGGUUUCGAUGGUGACUGAGUGAUAUUACAUUAUGUAAGUCAUUUUUCUUUAAUUUCUUGUAUGUUUUUAUUAAAUAGUAUUCUUUUAAAGAGUCAUUGCAUUUAAAAUGAUAUGCAUUGCUCAGAAGUUUCCGUGGUAUGAAAUAUUGUUAUUUUCUGAACUUCAUCUUUUGCUGAUAUUUGAUGUUGGGCUACUGCCACA
rnacentral:lncRNA from 1 species